GGUUAAGCGACUAAGCGUACACGGUGGAUGCCCUGGCAGUCAGAGGCGAUGAAGGACGUGCUAAUCUGCGAUAAGCGUCGGUAAGGUGAUAUGAACCGUUAUAACCGGCGAUUUCCGAAUGGGGAAACCCAGUGUGAUUCGUCACACUAUCAUUAACUGAAUCCAUAGGUUAAUGAGGCGAACCGGGGGAACUGAAACAUCUAAGUACCCCGAGGAAAAGAAAUCAACCGAGAUUCCCCCAGUAGCGGCGAGCGAACGGGGAGCAGCCCAGAGCCUGAAUCAGUGUGUGUGUUAGUGGAAGCGUCUGGAAAGGCGCGCGAUACAGGGUGACAGCCCCGUACACAAAAAUGCACAUACUGUGAGCUCGAUGAGUAGGGCGGGACACGUGGUAUCCUGUCUGAAUAUGGGGGGACCAUCCUCCAAGGCUAAAUACUCCUGACUGACCGAUAGUGAACCAGUACCGUGAGGGAAAGGCGAAAAGAACCCCGGCGAGGGGAGUGAAAAAGAACCUGAAACCGUGUACGUACAAGCAGUGGGAGCACGCUUAGGCGUGUGACUGCGUACCUUUUGUAUAAUGGGUCAGCGACUUAUAUUCUGUAGCAAGGUUAACCGAAUAGGGGAGCCGAAGGGAAACCGAGUCUUAACUGGGCGUUAAGUUGCAGGGUAUAGACCCGAAACCCGGUGAUCUAGCCAUGGGCAGGUUGAAGGUUGGGUAACACUAACUGGAGGACCGAACCGACUAAUGUUGAAAAAUUAGCGGAUGACUUGUGGCUGGGGGUGAAAGGCCAAUCAAACCGGGAGAUAGCUGGUUCUCCCCGAAAGCUAUUUAGGUAGCGCCUCGUGAAUUCAUCUCCGGGGGUAGAGCACUGUUUCGGCAAGGGGGUCAUCCCGACUUACCAACCCGAUGCAAACUGCGAAUACCGGAGAAUGUUAUCACGGGAGACACACGGCGGGUGCUAACGUCCGUCGUGAAGAGGGAAACAACCCAGACCGCCAGCUAAGGUCCCAAAGUCAUGGUUAAGUGGGAAACGAUGUGGGAAGGCCCAGACAGCCAGGAUGUUGGCUUAGAAGCAGCCAUCAUUUAAAGAAAGCGUAAUAGCUCACUGGUCGAGUCGGCCUGCGCGGAAGAUGUAACGGGGCUAAACCAUGCACCGAAGCUGCGGCAGCGACGCUUAUGCGUUGUUGGGUAGGGGAGCGUUCUGUAAGCCUGCGAAGGUGUGCUGUGAGGCAUGCUGGAGGUAUCAGAAGUGCGAAUGCUGACAUAAGUAACGAUAAAGCGGGUGAAAAGCCCGCUCGCCGGAAGACCAAGGGUUCCUGUCCAACGUUAAUCGGGGCAGGGUGAGUCGACCCCUAAGGCGAGGCCGAAAGGCGUAGUCGAUGGGAAACAGGUUAAUAUUCCUGUACUUGGUGUUACUGCGAAGGGGGGACGGAGAAGGCUAUGUUGGCCGGGCGACGGUUGUCCCGGUUUAAGCGUGUAGGCUGGUUUUCCAGGCAAAUCCGGAAAAUCAAGGCUGAGGCGUGAUGACGAGGCACUACGGUGCUGAAGCAACAAAUGCCCUGCUUCCAGGAAAAGCCUCUAAGCAUCAGGUAACAUCAAAUCGUACCCCAAACCGACACAGGUGGUCAGGUAGAGAAUACCAAGGCGCUUGAGAGAACUCGGGUGAAGGAACUAGGCAAAAUGGUGCCGUAACUUCGGGAGAAGGCACGCUGAUAUGUAGGUGAAGUCCCUCGCGGAUGGAGCUGAAAUCAGUCGAAGAUACCAGCUGGCUGCAACUGUUUAUUAAAAACACAGCACUGUGCAAACACGAAAGUGGACGUAUACGGUGUGACGCCUGCCCGGUGCCGGAAGGUUAAUUGAUGGGGUCAGCGCAAGCGAAGCUCUUGAUCGAAGCCCCGGUAAACGGCGGCCGUAACUAUAACGGUCCUAAGGUAGCGAAAUUCCUUGUCGGGUAAGUUCCGACCUGCACGAAUGGCGUAAUGAUGGCCAGGCUGUCUCCACCCGAGACUCAGUGAAAUUGAACUCGCUGUGAAGAUGCAGUGUACCCGCGGCAAGACGGAAAGACCCCGUGAACCUUUACUAUAGCUUGACACUGAACAUUGAGCCUUGAUGUGUAGGAUAGGUGGGAGGCUUUGAAGUGUGGACGCCAGUCUGCAUGGAGCCGACCUUGAAAUACCACCCUUUAAUGUUUGAUGUUCUAACGUUGACCCGUGAUCCGGGUUGCGGACAGUGUCUGGUGGGUAGUUUGACUGGGGCGGUCUCCUCCUAAAGAGUAACGGAGGAGCACGAAGGUUGGCUAAUCCUGGUCGGACAUCAGGAGGUUAGUGCAAUGGCAUAAGCCAGCUUGACUGCGAGCGUGACGGCGCGAGCAGGUGCGAAAGCAGGUCAUAGUGAUCCGGUGGUUCUGAAUGGAAGGGCCAUCGCUCAACGGAUAAAAGGUACUCCGGGGAUAACAGGCUGAUACCGCCCAAGAGUUCAUAUCGACGGCGGUGUUUGGCACCUCGAUGUCGGCUCAUCACAUCCUGGGGCUGAAGUAGGUCCCAAGGGUAUGGCUGUUCGCCAUUUAAAGUGGUACGCGAGCUGGGUUUAGAACGUCGUGAGACAGUUCGGUCCCUAUCUGCCGUGGGCGCUGGAGAACUGAGGGGGGCUGCUCCUAGUACGAGAGGACCGGAGUGGACGCAUCACUGGUGUUCGGGUUGUCAUGCCAAUGGCACUGCCCGGUAGCUAAAUGCGGAAGAGAUAAGUGCUGAAAGCAUCUAAGCACGAAACUUGCCCCGAGAUGAGUUCUCCCUGACUCCUUGAGAGUCCUGAAGGAACGUUGAAGACGACGACGUUGAUAGGCCGGGUGUGUAAGCGCAGCGAUGCGUUGAGCUAACCGGUACUAAUGAACCGUGAGGCUUAACCUU
rnacentral:rRNA from 1 species